UACGAAGGGUGCAAACGUUGCUCGGAAUUAUUGGGCGUAAAGCGCACGUAGGCGGCUCUGUAUGUUGGAUGUGAAAACCCUCGGCUCAACCAAGGAAGUGCAUCCAAAACUGCGGAGCUUGAGUACUUAAGAGGAUCGCGGAAUUCCCGGUGUAGAGGUGAAAUUCGUAGAUAUCAGGAGGAACACCGGUGGCGAAGGCGGGUCUCUGGGCAGUAACUGACGCUGAGGAGCGAAAGCGUGGGGAGCGAACAGG
rnacentral:rRNA from 1 species